GACGAACGCUGGCGGCGUGCCUAAUACAUGCAAGUCGAGCGGACAGAAGGGAGCUUGCUCCCGGAAGUUAGCGGCGGACGGGUGAGUAACACGUGGGCAACCUACCCUGUAGAUCGGGAUAACAUCGAGAAAUCGGUGCUAAUACCGGAUAAUCAUUUGAAGUGCAUGCUUCGAAUGUAAAAGAUGGCUCCGGCUUUCAAUACGGGAUGGGCCCGCGGCGCAUUAGCUAGUUGGUAAGGUAAUGGCUUACCAAGGCAACGAUGCGUAGCCGAACUGAGAGGGUGAUCGGCCACACUGGGACUGAGACACGGCCCAGACUCCUACGGGAGGCAGCAGUAGGGAAUCUUCCGCAAUGGACGAAAGUCUGACGGAGCAACGCCGCGUGAGUGAUGAAGGUUUUCGGAUCGUAAAGCUCUGUUGUUAGGGAAGAACAAGUGCCGUUUGAAUAAGGCGGCACCUUGACGGUACCUAACCAGAAAGCCACGGCUAACUACGUGCCAGCAGCCGCCGUAACAC
rnacentral:rRNA from 1 species